AUCCUCUCAGGGUCGUACCUGGAGAGAUUCCAGUAGUCUAGCAGUCUCGAUUAUGGGAGGAAGAGUCAAGCAGAGGCAAAUCCAUUCCAUUCCUAGCUUGAGCAUUGGCUAGCGAAUGGAAGGCAAUCUGCUACAAGU
rfam:Ornithorhynchus anatinus chromosome 10, whole genome shotgun sequence.